ACCUUGGCUAGUUCAGUCAGUAGGGUAUGAGACUCUUAAUCUAAGGAUUGUGGGUUUGAGCCCCAGGCUGGGCA